AAUGGGCGCAAGCCUGAUGCAGCGACGCCGCGUGGGGGAUGACGGCCUUCGGGUUGUAAACCUCUUUCGUCAGGGAAGAAGCCUUUGGGUGACGGUACCUGGAGAAGAAGCACCGGCUAACUACGUGCCAGCAGCCGCGGUAAUACGUAGGGUGCGAGCGUUGUCCGGAAUUAUUGGGCGUAAAGAGCUUGUAGGCGGUUUGUCGCGUCUGCGGUGAAAACUCACAGCUUAACUGUGGGCGUGCCGUGGGUACGGGCAGACUAGAGUGUGGUAGGGGAGACUGGAAUUCCUGGUGUAGCGGUGAAAUGCGCAGAUAUCAGGAGGAACACCGAUGGCGAAGGCAGGUCUCUGGGCCAUAACUGACGCUGAGAAGCGAAAGCAUGGGGAGCGAA
rnacentral:rRNA from 1 species